UACAAGUUGUCUAGAAGUCAGCCGAUCAAGGCCACUACUAGUUUUUGAAGUGAAAACUUCUUUAGCGGCGCUUGGCACUUUUGUAGAUGGGUACAAAAUGUUAAACUCGCGUCAGAUCCGUAGCCUGAUCGAAAAAGCGUAAGACGGAUGGAGAGGGGGUAAUAUCCCCCUCUCUUUCUACCGUACGGCGAAAAUGUAUGCCUGCUCCGUCUGUCUCGUUUAAGUGGCGAUUGGCGCCUGGGCUUAUCCAGUGCUUUGCUAAUCGAGUGUGAAAACGUAAAAACCAAAGAAGAAAAGUAAUAAAAAUCGGAAAUAUCAAUGUGCAUGGCGUCAGCGUAGAAAAAAAUUG